GACGAACGCUGGCGGCGCGCUUAACACAUGCAAGUCGAACGGUAAGGCCCUUCGGGGUACACGAGUGGCGAACGGGUGAAUAACACGUGGGUGAUCUGCCCUGCACUUCGGGAUAAGCCUGGGAAACUGGGUCUACUACCGGGUAGGACUCCUGGCUUCAUGGUUGGGGGUGGAAAGCUUUUGCGGUGGGGGAUGGGCCCGCGGCCUAUUAGCUUGUUGGUGGGGUAAUGGCCUACCAGGGAGACGACGGGUAGCCGGCCUGAGAGGGUGACCGGUUAGAUGGGGACUGAGAUCCGGCCAAGACUCCUACGGGAUGCAGUCGGGGGGAAUAUUGCACAAUUGGCGGAAGCCUGAUGCAGCGACGCCGCGUGAGGGAUGACGGCAUUCGGGUUGUAAACCUCUUUCAGCUAUGACGAGGCGCAAGUGACGGUAGUAGCAGAAGAAGGACCGGCCAACUACGUGCCAGCAGCCGCGGUAA
rnacentral:rRNA from 1 species